UACAGAGGGGGCAAGCGUUGUUCGGAAUUACUGGGCGUAAAGGGCGCGUAGGCGGAUCGUUAAGUCGGGGGUGAAAUCCUGGAGCUCAACUCCAGAACUGCCUUCGAUACUGGCGAUCUUGAGUCCGGAAGAGGUGAGUGGAACUCCUAGUGUAGAGGUGGAAUUCGUAGAUAUUAGGAAGAACACCAGUGGCGAAGGCGGCUCACUGGUCCGGUACUGACGCUGAGGCACGAAGGUCAGGGGAGCAAACGGG
rnacentral:rRNA from 1 species